rnacentral:rRNA from 1 species
GAGAGUUUGAUCCUGGCUCAGGACGAACGCUGGCGGCGUGCCUAAUACAUGCAAGUCGAACGCUCUUUUCUUAUCGAACUUCGGUUCACCGAGAAAAGGGAGUGGCGAACGGGUGAGUAACACGUGGGUAACCUACCCAUCAGCGGGGGAUAACACUUGGAAACAGGUGCUAAUACCGCAUAAUUCUUUUCUUCGCCUGAAGGGAAGAUGAAAGACGCUUUUGCGUCACUGAUGGAUGGACCCGCGCUGCAUUAGCUAGUUGGUGGGGUAACGGCUCACCAAGGCCACGAUGUAUAGCCGACCUGAGAGGGUGAUCGGCCACACUGGGACUGAGACACGGCCCAGACUCCUACGGGAGGCAGCAGUAGGGAAUCUUCGGCAAUGGACGGAAGUCUGACCGAGCAACGCCGCGUGAGUGAAGAAGGUUUUCGGAUCGUAAAACUCUGUUGUUAGAGAAGAACAAGGAUGAGAGUAGAAUGUUCAUCCCUUGACGGUAUCUAACCAGAAAGCCACGGCUAACUA